rnacentral:rRNA from 1 species
AGUAAUGCUUGGGAAUCUAGCUUAUGGAGGGGGAUAACUACGGGAAACUGUAGCUAAUACCGCGUAGAAUCGAGAGAUGAAAGUGUGGGACCUUCGGGCCACAUGCCAUAGGAUGAGCCCAAGUGGGAUUAGGUAGUUGGUGAGGUAAAGGCUCACCAAGCCGACAAUCUCUAGCUGGUCUGAGAGGAUGACCAGCCACACUGGGACUGAGACACGGCCCAG